rnacentral:rRNA from 1 species
CCUACGGGAGGCAGCAGUGGGGAAUAUUGGGCAAUGGGCGCAAGCCUGACCCAGCAACGCCGCGUGAAGGAAGAAGGCUUUCUGGUUGUAAACUUCUUUUGUCAGGGAAGAGUAGAAGACGGUACCUGACGCAUCAGCCACGGCUAACUACGUGCCAGCAGCCGCGGUAAUACGUAGGUGGCAAGCGUUUUCCGGAUUUACUGGGUGUAAAGGGCGUGUAGCCGGGUUGACAAGUCAGAUGGGAAAUCCUUCGGCUUAACCGCAGAACUGCAUUUGAAACUGUUGAUCUUGAGUGAGGGAGAGGCAGACGGAAUUCCUAGGGUAGCGGUGAAAUGCGUAGAUAUUAGGAGGAACACCAGUGGCGAAGGCGGUCUGCUGGACAGCAACUGACGGUGAGGCGCGAAAGCGUGGGGAGCAAACAGGAUUAGAUACCCUUGUAGUC